ensembl:lncRNA
GUGUACUGAAAUUCAAUCCCAUCCUGUGAGGGAGAAACUAUAAAUCUCAGUCCACUUUUUUGUGUACAAAUAUAGAUCCAAGCAUCACAAUCAAAUUUGCUCUCUUGGAUCCAGUACAGCUCUUACAGCCACCUACUGUGUGCUUGCCCUGAAUCUCCUGAGGAAGUAAUGGCUCAGGUGAAGAACUCCCUCCAGCCACAGACUGAAUAAGGUAUUCAAAAAUAACUUCAGAGUAACCUUUUACUUAGCCACAUCUUCUGUAAUCCAUGCCUGAUAACCUCAGUCUAAAUAUUGCUAUUAGGAUAAGGCAAAUCCCUUCCAGUAUGGGCACAUCUCUGAGUAUUCCUACCUAAGUCUGCCUUCAGAAAAGCAUUCACAUUAUGUCCAGUGCUGGUAUUGUACCAGUGCUUCAAGCUGAUGUAUGGCUCAGUACACCUCAUCCAUGCGGACUGUAGGUAUUGGAACUCCUUGAGACAGCCCCACAUCUUUCCUGCUACCCUUGGGUUUCCUGUCCUAAGGAAGUCUUACUGGAGAAUGUUCUUUAAUCUCCUUAAAUUCCCAUCUUAUCUGGGGCCCAGAGUACCGAACUUGACAAUGGUGUCAGUGCACUGGGCCUCAUUAGUCUUAACUGUUCACACUGGGGAGGCAAGUCAUUACUCUUACUUUGAAUUCCAGGGUGAUUUUUGUUGAUAGGGCAGGCAACUGUGGGCAGCAGCUUUAGAAACAACCUCACACUGUGGGAGUGGGAAAUGCUACCAGCUUAGUAACUUACUAGAUUUGUUUACUGUACUUGACAUUGUCAGCUGGAAAACUGGAGACAGAACACGAAGAAAGAUCUGUGGUCAAAUUAUUUCUUCUAGGUUGAUACCUUGCUCCUUGUCAUCAAAGAACAACACUGUCUCAGCCAUGAUGAACAUCUCAAGCUCCACAAAACUAGUGCAUGAGUAAGCAAGUUGCCUUUCCCUUAUGGAGAAUAUUCUGAAUGAGGAAAAGCAGAUGAGCAUGUGUAUGAUCAUAGUUACAAAAAUGAUCAGAAGGUAGCUAUACUGAAGGAAUUCAUAUUCUUUCUGUAAGGAUCUGAGUGCCUGCUGACAACAGUAAGUGGAGGUAAUUUUGUUGCUGAAAUUCCAUUCAAACUUGGAAAAAAAUUUGUUCUUCCUCAAGUUCCUAUCCCUGUGUUAAAAACGUACUGUAAAUUUGUUAAAAUCCUCUCAGUUUGAGAGGCUUGUCAGUCAUUCAUAAUGAAAAUGUAUACUUUCUACAUAAAACUGAGCUAUUGGAGACUAGAGUCAGGACUACCCUGACAUCCACUACUGAAAACCAAUUACUGGAACAUGAAAAUGAGUUCUGAAAUAAUGACACAAAUCAAGCAAUGCCACACAGAUGAUUACUGCAGUAAGUACCUAAGAAUAUGAAAUGACUCUAUGGGAGAAGAUCAAUCUUGCACUUAGCCUGUAUCCUGGCUCUGAUAAUAAAUAAUACAGAUAAAGAUGUGGCAAAUAUAGCAAAUACAGCAAUCUAGAAGAAUAGAUCAGGCAUAGAGCAGUGCUUUCAAAAUACACAUUCAUGGCCUGCAACAGUUUGAGGCUGUAACAGGUAAGUUCCCAUCCUUUUACUUGCUCAUUACUUCCAGCAGAAUGAGGGAGAGAAUCAGAAGUGCAAAAGUGAAGAAAAAAAAUAAUAAUGGAUAGUGUUUAAUAGGUGAAGAAUAAAACAGAAAAUAAAAGAGUGAUGGAAAGGGAAUCACUCAACACAUCUGAUCAGUGGACUGGUCCCAGAGCAUUGUCUACUUCAGAAAAGCUUUCCCUAGUUUUAGAGAAAUUGAGAAUGUCAUCUGAGUGUGACAUUAUAUGACACAGAAUAUCUCUUUGGACAUUAAGGCUGUGUCCCCUCCUAGCUUCUCAUCCAGGUCCAGCCUACUUUCAGAGAGGAAGCACAGUGGAAAACAGAAGGCCUUGAUGUAGUUCACUCACUAUUCAGCAAUAGCUAAAAUGUUGGUAUGUAACAUAUGACACUUUUCACCACAAAUCCAAAGCAAAAUAUGGACUAUUGUGAAGAAAGUUAGCUCUGUACCAGCCAUACCCAGUACAGAGGCUCAGGAGUUUCUUGACCCAAAGGGCAUCUUUGUCUUUUGGAAUAUAAGGGUAUUGACCAAAAGCAGAAAUCCACUGUGCUCUGCACUUUGCAAAUACAGUGAGAUAUCAUACUGCUCUAAAGCCACUCUAUCCACAUGGAUACCAGUGAGUGGGAGGAAAAAAACAGGCACAAAAGACAAACGAGUUGCUUGAGGCUAUGCAAUCUGUGAAUGCCUGAGCCAGGUCCAUUGACUCCUUUCCAAUAUCCUGCCCUAGCAAACAGUACUCCAGAUGUGCCAAGUACAGAAUGUAAAGUUCAGGGAUUGGAUUCAGUUUUUCUGCUAAGCUGUCCUCAGGACUGGAUCAAAUGUUGGGGAGGAGGAUGCAAAAUGAUUUCAUAUUCCAACCCAAAUAAUCUGUUCAAAUCUCUUAUAUGCCACUGG